rnacentral:rRNA from 1 species
CCAGACUCCUACGUGAGGCAGCAUUUUUGGAUAUUGCACACUUGGGGAAACCCUUAUUCAGCGACUCCGCGUGAGUGAAUAAUUCCUUCGUUACUUCCCGCUCUAUCAGCCGGGAAGAAAAUGACUUUACCUGACUCCGCCGCCCCGGCUCCCUCCGUGCCAGCCUCCGCGGUAAUACGUAGGGGGCAAGCGUUCUCCGGAAUUACUGGGUGUAAAGGGAGCGCAUACGGCAGUGCAAGUCUGGAGUGAAAGCCCGUGGCGGAACCACGGGACUGCUCUGGAAACUGUGCAGCUAGAGUGCAGGAGAGGAAGGCGGAAGUCCUAGUGUAGCGGUGAAAUGCGUAGAGAUGAGGAGGAACCAAGGUGGCGAAGGCGGCAGGCUGGACUGUAAAUGACGUUGAGGCUCGAAAGCGUGGGGAGCAAACAGGAUUAGAUACCCGCGUAA